GACGAACGCUGGCGGCGUGCCUAAUACAUGCAAGUAGAACGCUGAAGGAGGAGCUUGCUUCUCUGGAUGAGUUGCGAACGGGUGAGUAACGCGUAGGUAACCUGCCUGGUAGCGGGGGAUAACUAUUGGAAACGAUAGCUAAUACCGCAUAACAGUAGAUGUUGCAUGACAUUUGCUUAAAAGGUGCAAUUGCAUUACUACCAGAUGGACCUGCGUUGUAUUAGCUAGUUGGUGGGGUAACGGCUCACCAAGGCGACGAUACAUAGCCGACCUGAGAGGGUGAUCGGCCACACUGGGACUGAGACACGGCCCAGACUCCUACGGGAGGCAGCAGUAGGGAAUCUUCGGGCAAUGGACGGGAAAGUCUGACCCGAGCAAACGCCCGCGUGAGUGAAAGAAAGGUUUUUCG
rnacentral:rRNA from 1 species